CGCAAAACUGAUAAGACUAUCAUAUAUUGGCGAGAUUGAAUCUUCUUAAAAUAUGGUCACUCCCCGAUGACGAAGAUACAAAACUAAAGUUCUACGGAUCUUUCGCUACGAUCUACGCUCUUUGAAACUACUCCGUCUGACCUCCAUGGGAAAGUAUGUAUGUAUGGAUAUAUUGAAUGCGUCAUUAUCACUUUAUUAGAGAAAUAAUUCAAGAAAAGCUGAAUCAAUUCGCAAAGAACUGACGGCUGAUUUUUAAGGACAACCAAGUAAAAGUAAGUGCAUUAAGGUAUUGAAGAUAAUACAGAUUUAACCAUUGAAAAGCCACCGAAAGACUCUUGUUCCAUAGUUUAAAUUGUGAUGAUAAUGGCAAUAAAAAAUCACAACGGAUAAAGGAAAAUAUUUCCGCUUUGUCUAAUCUCGACUCAAGGGGAGCCCCGAGUUCCAAUAGGCAAGCGUCGCGCGCUCACCGUCACCCGGGCUCCGUCAGUUGUCUGUGAUCGGGCAGCCCAACAAAUCAACAGAUGGUGGAGUAGGUGCUGCAGAAUCAUCAUUAUCAACUGUUACAAGCAGUAAAAAUAAGAUAAAAUUCAGACUCUUAGUGAAAUUGCGCCAGAGCCGAAAUAAAGAUUCGUAGACAUUUA